ACUAGUAUCAUACGUGCGAGUCACUGAUCUCUAUUGGGUAUGUGCGAGUCACUGAUCUCGUAAUUAGGACUCUUGUUUGUUUUUGGGUGCAUGAAGUGUCGUGUUUGCUUAUAUGUUUGGGAGUAUAUAUUUAGAGUGUUAUAUCUGAGUCUAUGGAUUUUGGAAGAUUUGUAUAUGUGAUCUUUUAUAUUUACUAUGUAUAUAUGAGUUAGCAUCUUAUUUGUAAGUGUUCUUAAGAAC
rnacentral:lncRNA from 1 species